rnacentral:rRNA from 1 species
AGAACGAACGCUGGCGGCAUGCCUAAUACAUGCAAGUCGAACGAAGGCUUCGGCCUUAGUGGCGCACGGGUGCGUAACGCGUGGGAAUCUGCCCCCUUGGUUCGGAAUAACAGUUGGGAACGACUGCUAAUACCGGAUGAUGACGAAAAGUCCAAAGAGUUAUCGCCAAGGGAUGAGCCCGCGUAGGAUUAGCUAGUUGGUGAGGUAAAGGCUCACCAAGGCGACGAUCCUUAGCUGGUCUGAGAGGAUGAUCAGCCACACUGGGACUGAGACACGGCCCAGACUCCUACGGGAGGCAGCAGUAGGGAAUAUGGACAAUGGGCGAAAGCCUGAUCCAGCAAUGCCGCGUGAGUGAUGAAGGCCUUAGGUGUAAAGCUCUUUUACCGAGAUGAUAAUGACAGUAUCGGAGAAUAAGACCCGCUAACUCCGCGCCAGCAGCCGC